rnacentral:rRNA from 1 species
UAAGGAAUAUUGCUCAAUGGGAGAAAUCCUGAAGCAGCAACGCCGCGUGGAGGAUGAAGGGUCUAUGACUUGUAAACUCCUGUAAAGAAGGAAAAAAUUCCCAUUUGAUGGGAGAUGAUGUACUUCUGGAGUAAGCCCCGGCUAACUACGUGCCAGCAGCCGCGGUAAUACGUAGGGGGCAAGCGUUGUCCGGAUUUACUGGGUGUAAAGGGUGCUCAGGCGGAUUUGUAAGUCAGAGGUGAAAUCUUACAGCUUAACUGUGAAACUGCCUUUGAUACUGCAAGCCUAGAGUAUGGAAGAGAGUGAUGGAAUAUCUGGUGUAGCAGUGAAAUGCGUAGAUAUCAGAUAGAACACCAAUGGCGAAGGCAGUCACUUGGUCCAUUACUGACGCUAAAGCACGAAAGCGUGGGUAGCAAACA